rnacentral:lncRNA from 1 species
UUCCUUGUCCUUUUUAUUUCGUCUAUGCUUAAAAGCUGGGAUGGAUUUUGAUAUGAACAGAUACUAAGAAUAUAUAGGGGUUGGAUACAAGAUUUUAUCAUAUAAAUUAAAGAGAAUGUACGGUAUCAGUUUUAGAAUUUCUUUCAAAAUGAAACUCAUGUUUAGGUUAAUGUAUUUUGAGUUACACUUUCUUUCAUGAAGUUGAGUUGACCAAUAUAACUACAGUAUGUUCAUAUUUACGUUAUCAAACAGAAGAUUGAAAGUUUCUUUUGACCCCCACUAUUUUCUAUUGUUUUUGAUAUUUGUUUUAACAUCUGUGAAUGUGUCUCAGCCUUAAGAUGAUUAACCUUGACUAUAUCAUCAAAGGAAAACCGCAUGUAAAAUAGCAGCCGGUUUCUAAUUUUCUUAUGGUGAGUAAAUUUUUGUUCGAGGGACAUCAGGACAAGUAGGUUGUAAUAAGUAGGUAUUGAGAAUCUAUAUAAGUAAGGUCGUAAUGUUUUAUGGAAGUUAAGCAGAUGUUGAUGCACGCUGUAAUGGCACUGAAGAAUUUGGUUAAAAUUAAAUAGAGUGCCAAGGCUUUGUUGCCAUAAUUUUCUUGUUGUAUUUGCAUGGCUAAUGUAAUGAAGAAUAUGAUGAUAGGACGAGAAAAAGGAAGUAACUGUCCCGGGAAUAAAAACAAAUAACAAAGCUAGACGAAUGGGAACUUAAUAUUAUGCUUGUGAUCUAUACUAUACUAAAAGGGGGAUAUAAGCUCCUUUUAGAGUGUCCACAUAGGCACA